rnacentral:rRNA from 2 species
ACUCCCAACCCAUGUGAACUUACCUUUUGUUGCCUCGGCAGAAGUUAUAGGUCUUCUUAUAGCUGCUGCCGGUGGACCAUUAAACUCUUGUUAUUUUAUGUAAUCUGAGCGUCUUAUUUUAAUAAGUCAAAACUUUCAACAACGGAUCUCUUGGUUCUGGCAUCGAUGAAGAACGCAGCGAAAUGCGAUAAGUAAUGUGAAUUGCAGAAUUCAGUGAAUCAUCGAAUCUUUGAACGCACAUUGCGCCCAUUAGUAUUCUAGUGGGCAUGCCUGUUCGAGCGUCAUUUCAACCCUUAAGCCUAGCUUAGUGUUGGGAAUCUACUUCUCUUAGGAGUUGUAGUUCCUGAAAUACAACGGCGGAUUUGUAGUAUCCUCUGAGCGUAGUAAUUUUUUUCUCGCUUUUGUUAGGUGCUAUAACUCCCAGCCGCUAAACCCCCAAUUUUUUGUGGUUGACCUCGGAUCAG